rnacentral:ribozyme from 14 species
AAGCCGCAAUAAUCCAACCAUUCGCGAACGAAAGCACAACACAACACAACACAACACAACACAACACACGCCCCCCAUUCCCGUUUCUUCUUUUCUUCCUUUUCCUUUUUUUUUUCUUCUCAGACGUCUCCUUCUCCU